rnacentral:tRNA from 1 species
GGAGCAGUGGCCGAGUGGUCUAAGGCAGCGGUCUUGAAAACCGCCGGCCAGUGAUGGUCCCGUGGGUUCGAAUCCCACCUGCUCCGCCA